rnacentral:rRNA from 1 species
UACGGAGGGUGCGAGCGUUGUCCGGAAUCACUGGGCGUAAAGGGCGCGUAGGUGGCUUGGCAAGCGUGUGGUGAAAGCCCGGGGCUCAACCCCGGGUCUGCCGUGCGAACUGCUAUGGCUUGAGCACUGUAGAGGCAGGUAGAAUUCCGGGUGUAGCGGUGAAAUGCGUAGAUAUCUGGAGGAACACCGGUGGCGAAGGCGACGUCCUGGACCGGCAUUGACGCUGAGGCGCGAAAGCCAGGGGAGCAAACGGG